GAUGAAGAACGCAGCGAAAUGCGAUAAGUAAUGUGAAUUGCAGAAUUCAGUGAAUCAUCGAAUCUUUGAACGCACAUUGCGCCCGCCAGUAUUCUGGCGGGCAUGCCUGUUCGAGCGUCAUUUCAACCAUCAAGCCCUGCUUGCGUUGGGGUCCUGCGGCUGCCCACAGGCCCUGAAAACCAGUGGCGGGCUCGCUAGUCACACCGAGCGCAGUAAUACAUCUCGCUUUGGGCGUGCGGCGGGUUCUUGCCGUUAAACACCCCCUUUUUACCAAGGUUGACCUCGGAUCAGGUAGGAAUACCCGCUGAACUUAAGCAUAUCAAUAAGCGGAGGA
rnacentral:misc_RNA from 1 species